CAAAAUAAAGAUUACUCAAAUGCGAGAUUUUUAACAGCAGUUAUGAUACCUUAAGGCCAUCAGUAUCGAAAACACAAAUGUUGGCAUUUUUUAGGGUAAAAUUUUAUCUUCCUUAGGAAAGCUUUUUUUAUGAAACUUCGUAUGCUCGUCAUAUUUCACAUUCUCGUCCGUUGCACCAUUGGUGUUCUCAAAAUAAUAGUCACCUUGCCAAGAAUUUCCAUUUUAAGUAACAUAAUUAUAAUUAGUCACUCAUAAAUCCCAUAAUGCAAAAACAGCUGUUUUUUAACAUUUUUGACUAAACGACGUAGCCGCAUUUUCAGAGCUUUUUUUUUAAUUUUCAGAGCGGUGGGCUUAACUUUUCAUGAAUUUUUGUCGAUGCCCAUAUCUCAAGAUAUUUUGAACAGUUUUACUGUCACAUUUGGAUGUUCUCGUGACCUCUCUGUAAGAUUUUGUGACUCAGCGAGCCUUCAUAUUAUUUAAUCGAUCUCUCCCAGAAAACUACCUAAUGCUGGAAUGUUUCCCUGAACCAGACUUACUAGGGGUAGUUUUUUUUAAAGAAAAAGGAUGCAAAAUAUU